GGCCCACUGGCUUGCCUCACUGUGGUUGGUGGUGGCGGUGACAGAGACUGCAGCAUGACCAGAGUGGCUUUUCUGGCUUUGCCCGCCCAGCUGCUCCAUGCCAGGAGGAGGAGGAGACACCUAGAGCCUGCAACACCACGGCUCGCCUCGCUACAGGUGGGUGGCAGUGACGGAGACUGCAGUGCACCAGAGCGUCAGUUCUAGAGUGUAUGAAGAACCAAAUGAUGUAAUUGUAUGCGACCUGGCUGUAGUGGAACAAAUUUGACUCUAAAGUAUGCAGGCUCUAAUUUUCCUGUCUGGUUUUGUCUAGGGAGAUGACUCAUCAGAAAAAGAAGAAAAAAGAGGUAUUUGGAAAUUGUGCAAAUUAAAGCAGCCCCUGAUGCCAAAGUCUACACAUUCCUGAGUGAGUCAGUUCUGGCCAGUUCUAGCUGGAUCAAGAGAGCUCUGCUGGGCAGGCCUGAAGAGCACCUGGAUGGCAGACACCUGAGGAGCCAGGUGCCUGAAACUUCCUCCACCUACUUGAGGAGUGCCAAAGCCCAGGUGCUGGCUGGACAACCCCUUCUGGCUGCCUAAGCAGAUGGCAGAAGAAGGAAACAAGCCCCCACAUCACCCAACCAACCAGCAGAGAUCCUCCUUCCCAAGAAACAGAUAAAGAAACUGAGGCCCAGGAAGGCUAAGAGUCCUGCCAGGAUUAUUCACCUUUCAAGCAGCCAAGCAAGCACUGGCUGUGAGAGAUGGCUGUGAGAGAAGAUUAAAACAAUUACAACUCACCCAGUUCACAGAUGCUGAGUAACUGAUCUCCUGCCCCACUAACCUUAACGACAGCUUUCUCUGGACAAGGGACUGAUUUCAGUAACUUUCUCCUGAUAAGAGACCAUCCUCCAUGGACUGGUUCUGGCCAGUUUUAGAGGCUGUGCCUUUACGAGGCUGAGUACCUUCAUGUCCCUGCUUCACUUUUUGAUGUGUAGGGCCUAAUUAUAAUACAUUUAAAUGUCAAGUCUCCACCCCAGAAUGAACAUGCAUGUUUAUUGAAUAUGCAUGUGUUAGGACCUCUUUUAUGAGUAUUCUCAUAAAAUGAUAUAGCUCCUCUGAUAUCCUAUUGAGUAUGUAUAUGUAGCCAACUCAUUUGGCUCAAAUUCCUGUCCUCUCCCUCCCUCCCUGGAAAUGCCUGCCUCUGGCCUUGGCUGUAGGCCACACUUCCCAGCCUGUCAUAAUGGCCACCUUGCAGACUGCAAACCUUUAUAAGAAAUAAAGCUCUCUUUUCUAAAUUUAUAAAAUUGUGUGAUUUUUCA
rnacentral:lncRNA from 1 species